rnacentral:rRNA from 1 species
UACGGAGGGUGCGAGCGUUGUCCGGAAUCACUGGGCGUAAAGGGCGCGUAGGCGGCCUGAUAAGUAGGGGGUGAAAUCCUGCGGCUUAACCGCAGGGCUGCCUUCUAAACUGUCAGGCUCGAGCACAGUAGAGGCAGGUGGAAUUCCCGGUGUAGCGGUGGAAUGCGUAGAGAUCGGGAAGAACAUCAGUGGCGAAGGCGACUUCCUGGCCUGUUCUUGACGCUGAGGCGCGAAAGCUAGGGGAGCAAACGGG